GCGCCGCCCUGUAGAGCAUUCCGCUUCCAAUUCACCGGCAGAGAUUUUUCUAGUCUAGGUCAUGACUCCGACUGCCGCAAACCAAAGCAAUGUUGAAGGCGAAGAAGAGUCUGAGGAAGGCGGUUGUGCCUCCUACUCUCGUCGGCAUUACUUCUCCCGGAAACCUCCAGCCACUUGUCUCACCCUCCAUUAACGCAUCUCUCCUUCCUUACCGGCUAUACAUCAACCCUAAGCUUUUUUUUUUUUUUUCCAUCUCUUUCAAUGUCUCUCAAGCUUUCUGACUCUAUAGGUUAGUCCGGAUCGUUCUUCGUGCUGGCUCCUCAUCGCUUCUGGUUCCCGCGUUUUUGAACUCCAGAUUUCCAUGGAACUAUAGAAUCAUCAGUCAUCGAGGGAAAUAAUAGCUUACUGAUCCUUGAACAGACGAAGAUUAUGGGACUGACCUUCUCAUCCAUCCACUCUGUUUACAUUUAUGUCCAGGGAGUUGACUAUGAGGUGUUCUAGGCAGAUGGUGUGAUUCAGUUAGCAUCUUCUUGGCAUAUGUUGCUAACGUCAACGACGACACAUCAAAUGGUUUCAUCAAUGGCCUUUCCCGACUACUUCCCUCUGCUGUCUUCUCUUAACGCAGUUUGCUUUAUACAUUGUUUGGUGAUUCUAGUACCCUUGCACAUGAGGUAACCUCUUACUCUACGUAUUAUUUAAGGAACUCAAUAGUAGUUACACUGAUGAGGUUGUACUUUGCUCUCACCCACCCCUUUUUGAAUAAUAGUAAACACCGAUGAGGUUGUACUUUGUUCUCGCCCACCCCACCAAUGAGGUUGUACUUUGUUCUCAUCCACCCCUUUUUGAGUAAUAGUAAUUGUUAGGAAUCACGAACCCUCCACAAUGAUAUGAUAUUGUCCACUUUGCGCGUAAAACUCUCAUGUUUUUUCUUUUGGUUUUCUCAAAAGGCAUGUAUUCCUUACCUAUGAACUCAUGAUCAUCUCUUUAAUUAUCCGAUGUGAGACUCCCUACCAACCAUCCUC